CCUGCAAGGCUCCAGCCACUGUAAUAGUAGCCUGAUUAGAGCCUAAGCCACUCCGAGUCCUUGCAGAUCUCUCAGUUUGCAGAAUGAUGGCACUGUACACAACAGCUGAGUACUCUGAAACUUUAGUGUUUAUUUUCAGCCUAUGAUAUAGACUCUGCCUUGCUUUUAAGCAGGAGCACGAUAGAAAAUGCUUCUGCAAGAAGGAAUUAAUGAAGAGAACUGCAAAAGAAUGUGUGACGACCUCUCCUGACACGGCAAAAACUUUCCGCCCAUGUCACGACAAAGGGGAGAAGCUUUAAUGAAACCACUGCAGCUGUUCUCCUCUUAAAAGCAAGAUCAGCAAUCCCAGUUUGACAAAGCUACUGUGCUAUAUGUUUCUUUUGUUUUUGUUGUUGUUUUAGGAAAAUAUUGUAAUAAUUAUGCAAGAUAGGCAUGUUUCUUAGGCUACCUCUGCAAACAAAUUUGGCACCCUUUUUUUUU